UACGUAGGGUGCGAGCGUUAAUCGGAAUUACUGGGCGUAAAGCGUGCGCAGGCGGUCUGUUAAGACCGAUGUGAAAUCCCCGGGCUUAACCUGGGAACUGCAUUGGUGACUGGCAGGCUUUGAGUGUGGCAGAGGGAGGUAGAAUUCCACGUGUAGCAGUGAAAUGCGUAGAUAUGCGGAGGAACACCGAUGGCGAAGGCAGCCUCCUGGGAUAACACUGACGCUCAUGCACGAAAGCGUGGGGAGCAAACAGG
rnacentral:rRNA from 1 species